UACGAAGGGGGCUAGCGUUGCUCGGAAUCACUGGGCGUAAAGCGCACGUAGGCGGCUUUCUAAGUCAGGGGUGAAAUCCUGGAGCUCAACUCCAGAACUGCCUUCGAUACUGGCGAUCUUGGAGUCCGGGAGAGGUGAGUGGAACUCCGAGUGUAGAGGUGAAAUUCGUAGAUAUUCGGAAGAACACCAGUGGCGAAGGCGGCUCACUGGCCCGGUACUGACGCUGAGGUGCGAAAGCGUGGGGAGCAAACAGG
rnacentral:rRNA from 1 species